rnacentral:rRNA from 1 species
UACGUAGGGUGCGAGCGUUGUCCGGAAUUAUUGGGCGUAAAGAGCUCGUAGGCGGUCUGUCGCGUCGAUCGUGAAAAACUUGGGGCUUAACCCUGAGCUUGCGGUCGAUACGGGCAUGACUGGAGUUCGGCAGGGGAGACUGGAAUUCCUGGUGUAGCGGUGAAAUGCGCAGAUAUCAGGAGGAACACCGGUGGCGAAGCGGUUCUCUGGGACGGUAGCUGACGCUGGAGACGCGAAAGCGUGGGGAGCGAACAGG